AUGGCUCAGAUUGAACGCUAGCGGGAUGCCUUACACAUGCAAGUCGAACGGCAGCACGGACUUCGGUCUGGUGGCGAGUGGCGAACGGGUGAGUAAUGUAUCGGAACGUGCCUAGUAGCGGGGGAUAACUACGCGAAAGCGUAGCUAAUACCGCAUACGCCCUACGGGGGAAAGCAGGGGAUCGCAAGACCUUGCACUAUUAGAGCGGCCGAUAUCGGAUUAGCUAGUUGGUGGGGUAACGGCUCACCAAGGCGACGAUCCGUAGCUGGUUUGAGAGGACGACCAGCCACACUGGGACUGAGACACGGCCCAGACUCCUACGGGAGGCAGCAGUGGGGAAUUUUGGACAAUGGGGGAAACCCUGAUCCAGCCAUCCCGCGUGUGCGAUGAAGGCCUUCGGGUUGUAAAGCACUUUUGGCAGGAAAGAAACGUCAUGGGUUAAUACCCCGUGAAACUGACGGUACCUGCAGAAUAAGCACCGGCUAACUACGUGCCAGCAGCCGCGGUAAUACGUAGGGUGCAAGCGUUAAUCGGAAUUACUGGGCGUAAAGCGUGCGCAGGCGGUUCGGAAAGAAAGAUGUGAAAUCCCAGAGCUUAACUUUGGAACUGCAUUUUUAACUACCGAGCUAGAGUGUGUCAGAGGGAGGUGGAAUUCCGCGUGUAGCAGUGAAAUGCGUAGAUAUGCGGAGGAACACCGAUGGCGAAGGCAGCCUCCCUGGGAUAA
rnacentral:rRNA from 1 species